rnacentral:rRNA from 1 species
UAAUACUGUACCCUAAAAAUAAAGUCCGGAUAACACGUGCCAGCAGCCAGAGGAAAUACAAAGGAGACCUAAACGUAAUUCAGGAAUACUGGGCGUAAAGCGCGCGUAGGCCAGUUGAGUUAGUUAAUAAGUGAAAUCCCAAAGCUUACAAUUGGAACUGCAAUAAAAACUGCUCGACUAGAGUUUGAUAGAGGAAAGCGGAAUACAUAAUGUAAAGGUGAAAUACGUAAAUAUAAUGUAUAAACACCAAUUGCGAAGGCGGAUUUCUGGGUCAAAC